AACGAACGCUGGCGGCAGGCCUAACACAUGCAAGUCGAGCGAGGACUUCGGUUCUAGCGGCGGACGGGUGAGUAACGCGUGGGAAUGUGCCCUUCUCUACGGAAUAGCCCUGGGAAACUGGGAGUAAUACCGUAUACGCCCUAUCGGGGAAAGAUUUAUCGGAGAAGGAUCAGCCCGCGUUGGAUUAGGUAGUUGGUGGGGUAAUGGCCUACCAAGCCGACGAUCCAUAGCUGGUUUGAGAGGAUGAUCAGCCACACUGGGCCUGAGACACGGCCCAGACUCCUACGGGAGGCAGCAGUGGGGAAUCUUAGACAAUGGGGGCAACCCUGAUCGAGCCAUGCCGCGUGAGUGAUGAAGGCCUGAGGGUUGUAAAGCUCUUUCAGCUGGGAAGAUAAUGACGGUACCAGCAGAAGAAGCCCCGGCUAACUCCGUG
rnacentral:rRNA from 1 species